rnacentral:rRNA from 1 species
GACGAACGCUGGCGGCGUGCUUAACACAUGCAAGUCGAACGGAAAGGCCCCUUUGGGGGUCCUCGAGUGGCGAACGGGUGAGUAACACGUGAGUAACCUGCCCUUGACUUCGGGAUAACUUCAGGAAACUGGGGCUAAUACCGGAUAGGAAUCCUUGCUGCAUGGUGGGGGUUGGAAAGCUUCGGCGGUUUUGGAUGGACUCGCGGCUUAUCAGCUUGUUGGUGGGGUAGUGGCUUACCAAGGCUUUGACGGGUAGCCGGCCUGAGAGGGCGACCGGCCACAUUGGGACUGAGAUACGGCCCAGACGCCGACGGGAGGCAGCAGUGGGGAAUAUUGCACAAUGGGCGGAAGCCGGAUGCAGCAACGCCGCGUGCGGGAUGACGGCCUUCGGGUUGUAAACCGCUUUCAGCAGGGGCGAAGCUUGUGGUGACGGUACCUGCAGAAGAAGCACCGGCUAACUACGUG